GCCACUGCUAUUGGGGUUCGGCUAAGCCAUGCGAGUGGAGGGCGUCCCGCAAGGGAUGGCCCGCAGACGGCUCAGUAACACGUCGUCAACCCACCUUAGGGUGGGGGACAACCUCGGGAAACUGAGGAUAAUCCUCCAUAGGCGGGGGAGGCUGGAAUGCGCCCCCGCUGAAAGCUCAGGCGCCCUAGGACGGGACGGCGGCCUAUCAGGUAGUUGGUGGUGUGACG
rnacentral:rRNA from 1 species